CUAAUACUUUCUCCAUACAACAAAAGAUGUCUCAAGUUCGUUAAAAUUUGGAUGUAUCCUGAUGUGACUUAGUGUAUAGAUGCAUUUAAAUUUAGUCAAAGUUGAGAUAUCCUUUGUUGGGUGGAGAGAGUAUGAU
rnacentral:pre_miRNA from 1 species